rnacentral:rRNA from 1 species
UACGGAGGGUGCAAGCGUUGUCCGGAAUCACUGGGCUUAAAGGGCGCGUAGGCGGGCUGCCGCGUCCGGGGUGAAAUCCUCCCGCUCAACGGGAGAACGGCCUCGGAUACGGGCGGCCUCGAGGGGGGUAGGGGCAUCUGGAACUGUGAGUGGAGCGGUGAAAUGCGUUGAUAUUCACAGGAACUCCGGUGGCGAAGGCGAGGUGCUGGACCCCAUCUGACGCUGAGGCGCGAAAGCCAGGGGAGCGAACGGG